rnacentral:rRNA from 1 species
UACAGAGGUGGCAAGCGUUGCUCGGUAUCACUGGGCUUAAAGGGCGCGUAGGCGGUGCGGUACGGUUCGGGUGAAAUCCCUCGGCUCAACCGAGGAAUGGCCUGAGCAACGGCCGUACUAGACGGCAUCAGAGGAAGGUGGAACUCCCGGUGGAGCGGUGAAAUGCGUAGAUAUCGGGAGGAACGCCGGUGGCGAAAGCGACCUUCUGGGGUGUACGUGACGCUGAGGCACGAAAGCGUGGGGAGCGAACGGG